rnacentral:misc_RNA from 1 species
AACGCACAUUGCGCCCCCUGGUAUUCCGGGGGGCAUGCCUGUUCGAGCGUCACAAAAAAGUCUCAGGCGAAAGCUUGAUGUUGGGCGUCCAGGGCCGCUGAAGUUGUACCUUUACGGGAUUUCUUAGCGGCCCCGCCCCAAAUACAUCGGCAGCGGCGCGUAGCCCCGAGCGUACCCAGGCUUCCUAGUCUUCGCUCUGUGGGCAAUCGCCAACCGUACUUGCCCCGCAACGACCCCCUUUAGCCAUACAAAAUUGACCUCGGAUCAGGUAGGGAUACCCGCUGAACUUAA